rnacentral:rRNA from 1 species
GGUGAACGCUGGCGGUAGGCCUAACACAUGCAAGUCGAACGGCAGCACAGUAAGAGCUUGCUCUUACGGGUGGCGAGUGGCGGACGGGUGAGGAAUACAUCGGAAUCUACUUUUUCGUGGGGAUAACGUAGGGAAACUUACGCUAAUACCGCAUACGACCUACGGGUGAAAGCAGGGGAUCUUCGGACCUUGCGCGAUUGAAUGAGCCGAUGUCGGAUUAGCUAGUUGGCGGGGUAAAGGCCCACCAAGGCGACGAUCCGUAGCUGGUCUGAGAGGAUGAUCAGCCACACUGGAACUGAGACACGGUCCAGACUCCUACGGGAGGCAGCAGUGGGGAAUAUUGGACAAUGGGCGCAAGCCUGAUCCAGCCAUACCGCGUGGGUGAAGAAGGCCUUCGGGUUGUAAAGCCCUUUUGUUGGGAAAGAAAAGCAGCAGGUUAAUACCCCGCUGUUCUGACGGUACCCAAAGAAUAAGCACCGGCUAACUUCGUG